rnacentral:rRNA from 1 species
GAUGAACGCUGGCGGCGUGCCUAAUACAUGCAAGUCGAGCGAACAGACGAGGAGCUUGCUCCUCUGACGUUAGCGGCGGACGGGUGAGUAACACGUGGAUAACCUACCUAUAAGACUGGGAUAACUUCGGGAAACCGGAGCUAAUACCGGAUAAUAUAUUGAACCGCAUGGUUCAAUAGUGAAAGACGGUUUUGCUGUCACUUAUAGAUGGAUCCGCGCCGCAUUAGCUAGUUGGUAAGGUAACGGCUUACCAAGGCGACGAUGCGUAGCCGACCUGAGAGGGUGAUCGGCAACACUGGAACAGGACCACGGUCCAGACUCCUACGGGAGGCAGCAGUAGGGAAUCUUCCGCAAUGGGCGAAAGCCUGACGGAGCAACGCCGCGUGAGUGAUGAAGGUCUUCGAAUCGUAAAACUCUGUUAUUAGGGAAGAACAAAUGUGUAAGUAACUAUGCACGUCUUGACGGUAACUAGGCAGAAAGCCACGGCUAACUACGUG